rnacentral:lncRNA from 1 species
AAAUCAUUUAAUAUAUUGCUUAAUAUUUGAAUUCAAAUUCAAACAACAAACAAUGUCGCCAUGUGUCAAGCAAUGGGUCCAUUCGCCAUGCAAUAAUUUUGGUUUAUUUAAAAUUCAUGAAAUCCAAUUCCAUGUCACCACUAAUUGCCGCAUCAUCUGAGCCUAAUCCUCUUGGGUUGCACCUAAUCAAAUUUGGUCAAACCUAGAUUAAAACAAAGCAAUUUGGUUGAACCCAGUCUAAUCAGAUCAGACCCUGAUU